GUCGAACGGUAACAGGUUAAGCUGACGAGCGGCGAACGGGUGAGUAAUAUAUCGGAACGUGCCCAGUAGUGGGGGAUAGCCCGGCGAAAGCCGGAUUAAUACCGCAUACGACCUACGGGUGAAAGCGGGGGAUCGCAAGGCCUCGCGCUAUUGGAGCGGCCGAUAUCAGAUUAGCUAGUUGGUGGGGUAAAAGCCCACCAAGGCGACGAUCUGUAGCUGGUCUGAGAGGACGACCGGCCACACUGGGACUGAGACACGGCCCAGACUCCUACGGGAGGCAGCAGUGGGGAAUUUUGGACAAUGGACGCAAGUCUGAUCCAGCCGUGCCGCGUGCGGGAAGAAGGCCUUCGGGUUGUAGACCGCUUUUGUCAGGGAAGAAAAGUCUCGGGUUAAUACCUUGGGAUGAUGACGGUACCUGAAGAAUAAGCACCGGCUAACUACGUGCCAGCAGCCGCGGUAAUACGUAGGGUGCAAGCGUUAAUCGGAAUUACUGGGCGUAAAGCGUGCGCA
rnacentral:rRNA from 1 species